rnacentral:misc_RNA from 1 species
GUUAUGAUAUUGUUUUUAAAUAAGUUUAUCUGGAAUUUACGUUGGUUUUUGAGCAUAAUAUCUAAUUCAAUUAGGACCUUCUGCUAGGCUUUUGCAACUCCAUAUUAAUUUGUUGAAUGCAAGUUUGAAACUCAAUUGUUAGCUUUUCCAGAGGUUUGACUUUAAGCUAGAUUACGCUUGAAUUAACAUGACCAUCAAUUGAAACGACAUCAGUUAGCUAAUGUGCUAUAUGCCCUUUGCCAAUAAA